rnacentral:rRNA from 1 species
UACGGAGGGGGCUAGCGUUGUUCGGAAUGACUGGGCGUAAAGCGCGCGUAGGCGGACAUUUAAGUCAGGGGUGAAAUCCCAGAGCUCAACUCUGGAACUGCCUUUGAUACUGGAUGUCUUGAGUGUGAGAGAGGUAUGUGGAACUCCGAGUGUAGAGGUGAAAUUCGUAGAUAUUCGGAAGAACACCAGUGGCGAAGGCGACAUACUGGCUCAUUACUGACGCUGAGGCUCGAAAGCGUGGGGAGCAAACAGG